CACCUCUCAGGAUGGCACCCGGAGAGUUUCCAGUACUCUACCAGUCUCAGCUAUGGGAGGGAGAGUAAAGCAAAGGCCCGACCAUUCCAUUCCUAGCUUGGCCAGUGGCUAGCCAGUGGAAGGCAAUCUGCUCCAAGU